rnacentral:rRNA from 1 species
AUUGAACGCUGGCGGCAGGCCUAACACAUGCAAGUCGAACGGUAACAGGAAGCAGCUUGCUGCUUUGCUGACGAGUGGCGGACGGGUGAGUAAUGUCUGGGAAACUGCCUGAUGGAGGGGGAUAACUACUGGAAACGGUAGCUAAUACCGCAUAACGUCGCAAGACCAAAGAGGGGGACCUUCUGGCCUCUUGCCAUCGUAUGUGCCCAGAUGGGCUGAGCUAGUAGGUGGGGUAACGGCUCACCUAGGCGACGAUCCCUAGCUGGUCGGAGAGGAUGACCGGCCACACUGGAACUGAGACACGGUCCAGACUCCUAAGAGAGGCAGCAGUGGGGAAUAUUGCACAGUGGGCGCAAGCCUGAUGCAGCCAUGCCGCGUGUAUGAAGAAGGCCUUCGGGUUGUAAAGUACUUUCAGCGGGGAGGAAGGGAGUAAAGUUAAUACCUUUGCUCAUUGACGUUACCCGCAGAAGAAGCACCGGCUAACUCCGUG